rnacentral:rRNA from 1 species
UACAGAGACUGCAAGCGUUAUUCGGAUUCACUGGGCGUAAAGGGUGCGCAGGCGGCCAGGUGUGUCAGACGUGAAAGCCCGGGGCUUAACCCCGGAAUUGCACCUCAAACUACAUGGCUAGAGCAUUGGAGAGGGUAGCAGAAUUCAUGGUGUAGCAGUGAAAUGCGUAGAUAUCAUGAGGAAUACCAGAGGCGAAGGCGGCUACCUGGACAAUUGCUGACGCUCAGGCACGAAAGCGUGGGGAGCAAAAGGG